ACGGAAGGCAGCAGUGGGGAAUAUUGGACAAUGGGGGAAACCCUGAUCCAGCGACGCCGCGUGAGUGAAGAAGUAUUUCGGUAUGUAAAGCUCUAUCAGCAAGGAAGAAAAUGACGGUACCUGACUAAGAAGCUCCGGCUAAAUACGUGCCAGCAGCCGCGGUAAUACGUAUGGAGCAAGCGUUAUCCGGAUUUACUGGGUGUAAAGGGAGCGUAGACGGCGUGGCAAGUCUGAUGUGAAAGCUAUGGGCUCAACCCAUAAACUGCAUUGGAAACUGUCAUGCUAGAGUGUCGGAGAGGUAAGCGGAAUUCCUAGUGUAGCGGUGAAAUGCGUAGAUAUUAGGAGGAACACCAGUGGCGAAGGCGGCUUACUGGACGAUAACUGACGUUGAGGCUCGAAAGCGUGGGGAGCAAACAGGAUUAGAUACCCUGGUA
rnacentral:rRNA from 1 species